GUUAGAUUUCGGCAAACUUAUCGAAAGGUAAGGACGCAAAGCUAUGGGUCUAAGAAUCUUAGGAUUUAAGGCUGCCAGGUUGCCAUU
rnacentral:ncRNA from 1 species